UAUAUAUAACAUAUAAUAUAAUAAUUAUAAUUAUUGUAUAAUAUAUAAUCAUAAUAUAAUUAUACACACACACAUAUAUAUUUAUAUAUUUUUUUUGCAUAAUAUCUGCCUUUGUGAUAUACCAUGAAUGCAGAGAUACAAGUUUAUAGCCAGGAGAAUGUCCAGCCAAGACAGUCUGUCAGUGAGGAAAUAAGCAUAUUCUUAUCUUAACGCUCAUUUUGGCAGCCCUCUUCUUGCUCCUAUGUUCUGAUUACAGAAGAAUAAGGCCAGAACGUGGCCAACCCCAGUCUUACUUUGUUGGCCACAUUGGGAAGGUUGCCAGCCACUUAUCUCCCAAUCUUACUGCUUCAUAGGACAGCUCAGUCCGAUGGGAAAAAUCCGUCAAGCUGCUCUCCAGGCAAAGGGGACAGGAAAACACAUGUCAUUAACAUAAUGGCCACAUUAUUCCAGAAGGGAAUUAGAAAGGGUUGAGAGAUGUUUAGGGGCUGUCACCCACAAAGAGGUAGGAGUGACUGAGGUCUGGAACAGUCCAAACGGCAGGGAAGGUUAAUGAAACCCUGGCAUCCAGGUGAGGCCAGCUGGACAGCAGCCCACCAGGAGGAGAGGCUCACCCCUGACAGGAGGACAUCUCCAGACUCUUUCAGGGCAGCCUCUUGGGAAUCCACAUACAGCACAGCCUGUUUCAUCAGCUCGUCAUCCAGCUCUCUCCAGUCGGGUCUGCUCGCUCCAAUGGCUAAGAGACAGCAAAACGGACCCUGAACCCAGAAAUAGAGGCAAGGGACACUACACGUGCCAAAAAGUGGAGGAGGGGUGGGGAAAAGGAGGUGACACAGAACACAGGGGAACACUCAGAUUUGGGAUGCCUCAUUUCCCAAUGCCAGCCCCCCCAAUCAGCAAGACUGAACACUCAUCAAUAAGAAUAAUGCCUGUCUUUUUUUUUUUUUUUUUUUUUUUUGCAUUUCAUACCAAGAUCUUUCUAAGAGAUUUUGAGGCAACUUAGCAUUCAUUUAUUGGCUGCCUGCUAUCUGUGGGAUGUUUCGCACAUUUUAUUUAUAAUCCUCACAAGUACGCUUCAUGUCUGAUUUCCAUUUACAAGGUGCACAAAAGAGGCUCAAAGAACCGAAGGUGUUGGCCAUGGUUGUGUAUCUAAGACAUGCUCCUGGGCCCUUUGAUGCCUUUUCUGUUUGUUUAUUGGGGGCAGUGACCUCUUUAUAAAAUUCUGGGAACAGAGACAUCACUUACAGCUUAUUCACACCCUACACUCCUCCAUCUUCUAUCAAUCCGCUUGGUUCUGAAUCCUUCCCACUCCUCACCCCCAACCAUUUCUCUCUUCACUCAUGACAAAGGAGCCCAGUGCCAGGCUCACGGAGAAGCCCCAGUAGAGAGGAAACUGGCUCCAUCCUGGCACCGAGAUAUCACAUCCUUUGCAGUGAGCCCAGCAGCAUAAUGAUGAAUCCAAGGAAUCAUGCCUCCUGGCACCGGCACGUAGGAUAACACAGAGGCUGCCACCAAAAGUCCACAAGGCCAGGCAGGGAUCACAUGUUCCUGAGGGCCUUAAAAAGCUUGGUCGUUUGCAUGAGGAAAAUAGCUCUGCAGAUGCAGCCGCUUAGUUCAGCCCAGGGACAACAAUGGCCACCAUCUACCCAUGGCUCCGGGAGCCACUCUGCUUACCAUUGAUGUGAGCCCCCGGCUUCACCCAUUCACCAAACAAAAUGGGCUCUGUUGCCAUGGUGACUGUGAUGAUCACAUCUGCACCUGUCACCGCCUCCUGGACCGACGAACAGACCUGUACCUCUCCUUGAACUGUGUCUGCAAACUUCUCUGCAUGUUCUUUGGUGCGGUUCCAUAUCCUCACCUUCAUUGGGGGUAACAAGAGGGACAUUGGUGCCAUGAUUGUUUGUCUGUUUACGUUUUAUUAUGUUUCAUUGGUGCCAGGGGAAAGUUGAGCCACUCUGGGGUAAGGGGAUUUACAUCAUCCCCUAUGGGUGUGCCUGGGUGGCUCUGUUGGUUAAGCGUCCAACUCUUGAUUUCGGCUCAGGUCAUGAUCUCACGGUUCGUGGGACCGAGUCCACAUCAGGCUCCGUGCCGACAGUGUGGGGCCUGCUUGGGAUUCUCUGUCUCCCUCUUUCUCUCUGCCCCUCCCCUGUUAGCACGCAGGCACGCAGGCGUUCUCUCUUUCUCUUUCAUGAACAAAUAAACAAACAUUAAAAAAAACAAGAAUGGUCUAGAUCAGACUCUUGACCUAACUAUUUCAGAAUUGCCCAUGUUUCAGUGAAGGAGUAUAGAUAAAGGUCAUGAUCGCUCCCUCUCCUCUUCUCCCCUAGCCUUCCCUGGACUUACCUCUUUGAAGGAGAACUGUUCUGUGAAGACCUCGUAGUGGCUAUAGGCCUGGACCCCAGCCCCAAGGAUGCACAACACUUCACUGCUGGGUGGUUUCAAAAACUAUUUGAGAGAAACCAGGUGGCAAAGGUCAAGGGAGACAGAGCAGCCAGGUGAAGAACAAACACAGUCUGAGUAUCAGGUGUCUUUGGCCCUAUCUUUAGCUCCCUCACUAUCUCUUGGGCAAUGAAGGAGAUGAUAUUUCGUGUUUCAGUUUCUCCUCUGCAGAGCGUGGAGGGGAGGAAGGAGCCUUCAGGGAGCCCCUAAUAUAUGCCAAUGCUUUACCCUCAUGGUCUCAUUUAGUCCAGGCAAUCACCCUGUGAGCAAGGCACUCCUAUUUUUAUCCUCCUCUUCUAGAUGAAGAAAUUGGGGUCCAGAGAGGUUAAGUAACUUGCAGGGUCCUACAACUAUUAAAUGGCACAGUGGGGCUCCAAAAACCACACCCUUCAUUCUCCAAAGACCACAUUCUUUCUCCUGUGCCACCCCAUCUUGGGGACAUGAUAGGCCACACCCACUUCUCAGAGCCCUGAGUUACUUCUAAGAGCUACCUGGAAUCCAUGGGCCCUUCCUUGCAACUCAAGGCUCUCCGUUAUAUUUUCGAAGCCCACUGCUGAUCCUUUCUCAGCCUCCAUCUUCCUUUAAAGAGGAGUGUAGACCUGGCAUUUGUGGCACCUGCUAAGGAUGUACAUGUGUCUGUGUUUGGGAGUGGGGUUCUAUGAUCAACUCAUAUCAAGUAUCAUCUCUAAGGUGAAAUCUUCCUGACCCCCCUGAUAGAAGUCAUCCCUUCACAGCACUUAUUUCUUUACAGAUUUAUUUUCUUGUACUGAUCUGUAAGCCCAUGAGGGCAGAGACAGUCUCAUGUGCACAGAUUUGGCACAAAUCUCCUAUUAUGUGUAGGAAGUAAAGCAGGGUUCCUGAACCUCAGCAUGACUGACAUUUGGGCUGGAAAUUCUUUGUCAGCAGAAACGGGUGCAUGGGCUCUCCUGUGUAUUACAGGAUGUUUAGCAGCAUCGCUGGCCUCUAUGCAUUUGAUACUUGUAGCAUCUCCUACUUCCCCUAGUUGUGACAAAACCAAAAAUGUCUCCAGAUAUUGCUAAAUGUCCCUGGGACAGGUGGCAAAAAUCAUUUGGGGUUGAGACCUACUGGCACACCAUCCAUAUUAAAUAAGAGCCUCUUGUGGGGUGCCUGGGUGUCUCAGUCAGUUGAGCAUUCGACUCUUGAUCUCAGUUCAGGUCUUGAUCUCAGGGUUGUGAGUUCAAGCCCCACACUGGGCUCCAUGCUAGACAUGAAGCCUACUUAAAAAAAAAGAGAGAGAGAGAGAGAGAGGAAGGGAGGGGGAGAGAGAGAGAGAGAGAGAGAGAGAGAGAGAGAGAGAGAAAGAAAGAACCUCUUCUGCCUUUUCUGUAUUUCACUCAGUAAAAUUUGAGUCUGUUCUUUCUUCAAUAUUAAUUAUUGAAUUUCUGGAAUGUAAUCCUAAAAGCGAAAGUCUCUUUAAUUAUUAAUUACUAGCAAAAAGGAGUCACAGAAAUAGUAGCAGAUGUUCAUCUCUCCUGUAGCUACAGAAGGAGAGAUUCCAUUUUGUGCCAUAAAAUAUAGUUCAAUGUAUCUGACUUGGGAAGUUUUCAAAAUUACAAUAUCAACAAAACAAGCAAUGUUAUGCUCUUAUCCAACAAGGAGAAUUAGGUGAUUUUUCCUUUACUAAAUCAAUUUUUUUCCUGUUCUUAGUUAAUAUGAAUCUAUUCUUUGAAGUACACUUGGGCUUUAGAAAUCAUUGCAGUGUCCUGUAAAACAAACCUUCAACUUGUGAAACUAAAUCUCUAAUUCUGAUUGAUUGUCUUACCUGAUAAUUUGUUGCCUUGGUAAUAAUGUUACAAUAGACAUCUCUUUUCCUAAAUAGCAUAACAUUUAUAAGAUGUAUUAAAUCAUAGCAGGAUUAGUGGUACUUCAUUCUUUUUCCCAUAGCAUGCAAAUAAUUAAAAACAUGUAUAUGAAUCUGAUAGGUUUCUUACUUAAAGAGCUUGGAAGUGUGUGUGUCAUCUGCAUUUGCUAAUGAACAGCACUAGAUGUAGCCCUGCCAUCUCCCCAGCCCCCUCUCAGGCCAUGUUCCUCUGCAAUUCCUGUCCUUCAGCCACACCGGCUUCUUUGCAAAUUCCCAAGCACGUGUGCUACCAUCAACCACAGGGCCUUUGCACAGGUUCUUUCCUAUGCAUGAAAUAUUUUUCUCUCUGUCCUUCACAAGUAAUUCCUCCUAUCCUUCAUAUCUCUCCUCAGAUAUCCCUUCCACCAGAAGAGCCUUUCCAAAUCCCAUAGACCUCCCAUUACACACUCUCAUUGCACUUCACCUCUUGCACUCGAUGUAUUUGUCUAGGUAAUAGUUUCACAGGUAUUGGUGUGAUCUUUGGGUUAAUAUCUGUUUCCCCAAAUAGACUCUUGUGUUCCAUGAUGGCAGGUACUGUAUCUGGUUUUACUUACCAUUCUAUGCCCCAGACUGAGCACUGGGCCUGGCCUCUAGUGGGAACUCAAUUAUUUGCCGAAUAAAUGCAUGCCAGGGAUAAACUCUGAUAUGUACUGUCACCUUGAAAAAGCAUGUCAGAAUCCACAACUCAGGGUAUGUGCAAUCCAAAUGCAAAGAAGUUGCAGUGACUGACAAACCCGAGAACCUCUUAUACUUCUCAUCCUCCUCCCCAAAGCCCUAAAUGAAUGAGAAGUGAUGGAAAAGAAAACACUCUCUCUUCCAGGGCAAAAAGUGUAAUAGACCUUUAGUUCCUUAUUGAAAUAACCCAUCUGCACCCCUGGGCAUAAAGCUACGAAGUUGCAGCCUAAACUCUGAAGCAUCAGCUCAAUGAUUCUCAACUCUUAUGGGAGUGCAGAUUUUUAUCAAUGCAAAAAAAAAAAAAAAAAAAAAAGCAUGGUGUAACUGGGAGCUGGGUCUAUGAGAUUUUGGUUUUCAAACCUGGUUGAUCAUCAGAAGUAACCAGAGACUAUUAAAAAAAAAAAAAAAAAACAACACAACCACCAUUUUCUUGGGCCCCACCCUUAGUGAUUUCAAAUCUGUGUUUUGGGGAUCUGAAUUUUUAAAGACAUUCCCCAGGUGAUGGCUGCUGCAUAGCUUGAGUUGGAAACCACAGACCUGGGCCAUGAAGACCAGGCAGUCUCAGAGGAUCCCAUAGCUACGUGGCUUAUAUGACUUCAGGAAGUCCUAGUCUCCAUCUCUAGGACGAAAUGAGGCCAAUAAUACUUGUUCUCCCUCCCUCACAGAAACCGAAAGAUACAUCAAGACAAUGGGUUGGAAGUUCUUCUGAAAAAGACCAGAGUCCUUUACAAAUAAAUGAAAGGCAGUAAUUGUACCAGUGAGUAUAUAUAUCUCAAGGAGUCCCUUGACUAUUUCAGUCUGAGUUGGGUCUGGAUAUGCUUCAAAAAACCAUUUCAUCCAGGUGUGUGAUCUGCCCCCUUCCUACACAAUUCUCAGGUUAAUUUUUACAUUCUUCCCUCCCCAUCUUGUGUUAGAAGACCUUAACACGCUCACAAUCUGAACACCUGGUCUCUGCUGCUCCCCAGACCCCAUACCUCUUUAUGCUCAUUCCUCAUAAACUCCUAAACCAGCUCAGCAAACCGUAUACAUUCCCAUCUCACGUGAAAGACACCCAGCUUUCCAAGCCUCUUCUCCGUAACGCUAACCUCUAAAGAUACUGCUUUUUUUGUAGGAUGUCCUGACAGUGCUCAGGAACAUCAUCGCCCCCUUCACUUGCUUUCCCUUUCGCCUGAAGAGUGCCCCUUCCCCCACUUACUUCCCUCAGUUUUUACUCAAAUGUCACCUUCUUGGUGAAUGAGAUCUUCCAUGGGUAAUUCGGAAGGUCACCCCUCCCCAGUAUUCUCGAUUCUGCUUUAUUUUCAAGCAGCACACUAUCUGUUUUUUGUCAGUAGUGGGUUUUUUUUAAAAGCAAAUCCUAGCAUGUUAUUAACUCAAAAGGAGUUUGUUGUUGGUUAAUUAUUUUCUUAGCAAACCAAACUGUGUACUUCACUUUUCAUCUUGUGUAUUUUCUUAAACCCCCAUGUGCCACUCUCUGUUUUGUUCACUGCCAUAUCCCUGAUGUUUAGAACAGUGCCCAACAUAUAGUAGGAUCUCAGGCGGUACUAGCUGAAUGAAUACGUGAGUGCACUUGGAUCUCUUCAUCUCCCCCUCUGCUUCUUGUGCAGGAUUGGCUUUGGCCUAUGCAGCAACUACCCUGAUUUACCAGGAGCAGUGUAGUACGGGGGCAGGGGGCAACAAAGCAGUCCUGGGGGUCAUAGGAGUCAAAUUUUAAAUUCUUGCUCUGCUUCUCAGUAGCUGUGUGAUCUUGGGCAACUCACAUAACCUCUCUGAGCCACAUUUCCUAAAUGUGGCAAAUGGAGAUCAUCCUAUCUCCUUUGCAAGGUUGAUGUGAAGAUAAGGAAUAAGGUAUGUAGGGUCCCCGGAAUCUAGUGGUGCUCAUUAAGUGGUAUUUAAUAGUUUCAUGAGUCCCUGUGCUCAUCUGACAUCCCAUUUUUGGCUUAUGGAGUUCCAGUUAUGUCCAAAGGAAUACCGAAGUAAGUCUCUCACUUCUCCCUUAGGCUUUCAAGCUUGAGGCACCCAACCCAGCUCUCCAGCAAACCCCAACAACACAGGCUGGCACUAAUCUUACCUUAGUGGCGAUGGCAGAUACUGCAGCUGUUCUUUUUGCGGUGAUGACAUUUCCAUCCAUGACCUUGGUGGAAAGGAGAGGCAGUGAGCGAGGGGCAACCCUAGCCACGACUUAAGCAGAAAGAAACAGCUCAAAAAGAGCAGCGUCAGGAAGUAUCACAGUAUCCUACAAAGAGCACAGGCUUGCUGUCAGAUCUGGAGCUAAUUUUUCCGCUUAUGAGAAAUGCACCUUUGAAGAAAUAUCUUAAUCUCUAAGUACCAUUUGGCUCACCUGUAAAAACAAAGACAAUGCCAACCAUUCAGAAGACUUUGGUGAGGAUUAAAGCACUCACAUAAAUGUAAAUAUCUAGCACACGAUGAGCCUUCAAGAAUUGCCCAUUUUAUUUUCUUUCCCUGGGUCUCUCAAAACACCAGAUGAAGGAACAAUUUGAGGAAUUAGAGUAAGUCAUAUGAUAUCUGUGCAAGGGCCAUGAAAUUCUACCUCUUAACUGAAAUUCUACCUGGCUCUUAACUCUUACCACACAUGUGGGGAGCUUUGUGAAGAUACAGAUGCCCAGGGAAUCUCUCUAAGGGAGGCAUCCAGACACCCUUGUUUUCAAAAGCUCCCCAGGGGAUUCUGAAUUAUGUCUGGCUAAAAAUAACCACCAUCCUUUGUGUUAUUCUCCUGUUUUUAAGUUAUUCAUCUUAGUUGCUCCCCAGGUAGUAUCAGUAUUCUCAUUUUAUAGACAAGGAAGUGAAUCACUUACUACUGAGCAGAUUCAGGAAGGAUCUAAGGUCUUGUCAUUUAGUUUAAAAGCCUGAGCCGGUCCCACUUUCUGGGGGAACCACCAUUGGCAGUGGUAUGAAUGUCAUCUCCUCAGAAUGAGUAUAGGUUGGGUAGGGCUACACAGUCUCCCCAGAGGAGUGAUAUACAGCCAGGUUCCUUGGGGAGCCAGAAAUUCAGGAGAGAGGAUUUAAAGAUCCAGAAGUAUGGGUGGAAUGAAGGAGACUGACCCAGCUAACAACUCAACUGCCUGGUCUCAGAGCCAGCUUGGAGGGCACAGAACACAUGGGUUCAGAGUACAAGUUCGUACAAACUCCAUCAUCAGGCAGGCCUAGCAAUGAUUCCUGGGCCUUUGGCUAAGCAGCUGUGUGACCUCCAGCAAAGUGGCUCCACUACUCUGAGGUUCAGAGUCCUCAACAGAAAUUGGGAGUGGGUGUGAAAGAAAAACUCCCACAGAGGAAUGUUGCCACAAUUGAAUGAGAUCAAAUUCUCUUCUCUGGCACAUGGUAAGUGCUCAGUAAGUGGCAGUUAGAAAGGCAGUAGACACAGUCUCCAGAGAGUAUAGACCCUGGACUUACACUGAGUAGGUCUGCAGUCCAGCCAUGCCACUUAUUUAGUUAGGUAAACCUGGGUAAGUUGGGCAUAGUUGCUCUGUGACUCAGCUUCCUCAUCUGCAAAAGGGGGCUAAUGAUAUUACUUACCUCACACAGUGCUUCUAGGUAUUAGGAGAGUUAAUACAAGUCGAGUCCUCCAUGCCUGAUACAUACAAAGUGCUCAAUGAAUGAACUACUGCUGUAUUUUGGUACUACCAUGAACCGUUAAAACCAGUGACUGUGUAUCUCUCAGAAAAGCCUCCCAGGGAUUAUAGGACACUCCUUUUCUUCCACUAGAGAAGUCACUAAAUAAAUGUUUCCUUGGCUACUGAGUUUGAUGAGCUGUAUAUUGGAGUAACUGGGACAGGGCAAGAGCAUCUACAAGAAUGAUGAGAUUAUUACUUCCACACUGUCACACACUUCAAGUAGCAGGUGCACUCUGGUGCUGGAUUGUGCAUCCUCAGGAAGUCCUGGAAACAGAUACACAGUCACAGACACCCUUCAUUGUUGCUGGUAUCCAGAGACAUCAUGUUCAGAGAGGGGCACGUGUGGUCCCCAUCAAAUCUCCACCCAGCUCUCUCAGAGAACUAAUUUCCAGGCUAGCUCUGGGCCCAGGGGCCCCCACUUCAUCCCAGGCAGGGAGUUGCUCACCGCCAGAAGGGAGCCAUUGCUGGGCUCAAAGAGCAGCACAGUGGCCUGGUGGGAGGGCACCAUGGAGAUGGUGCUGUGGCCCUCGUAGAAGGUGACCAACUUGGUGGUCAGGGCGUCUUCUGCAGCACUGUAGGCAGGCAUGACCCCCAGGAAGCUGCAAGGAGAGAGGGAUAACUUCAACCCCUUCCAAGCAAUGCUGGGGUGCCCUAGCAAGUCCCAGUGUACGUUCCUUUCUCUUUCCUCUGUCACUGCCCUACUGUCCCUCCUUCCCCCCAUUUCCGCUGUCCUUCCUUUAGGCAGUAUGCGGAGUAUAAGAGUCGGCCUCUGGAUGAGAAAAACUAUCCUAGUUCUGCUACUAACUACCUGUGUAACCUUGGGUAAGUUAACCUAAGUCUCAGUUUUCCCCAUCAGUAAAAUGCUUGCAUCAAUACCUACCUAUAUGGAGAAUGUGUUGAAUUAAACAAGAUCACGCCUGUAAAGCGCCCACUUGGUACUGUGGUUAGCGCAAAUAUUAGGUGGCAACUGUUACUAGCAAUGAUUUAGACGAGCCCUCUAUUCCUUUCUCCCGCUGCUUGCCUUCGCGUGCCUUCCCUUCCCAGUUUCCAGUUUCUCCAGCACCUGGCCCCCGCCUUUCUCACUCACCCCCUGUGCUUGGCCACCGGCACCACGGUGCGCACCGGCUGCAUGACGCCUCCGUCGGGGCCGCUGGAGAAGUUGGCCAGAGCCGCCUCCAAAGGCGGGAUGAGGAGGCUGGAGCUGCGGAGGUGCUCCAGCACCUCGGCGGCGCUCAGGAACGCCGGCGCCCGGCUCAUCUCGCCGCGGGCCUUCGAUUUCAGCUGGGGCACAGCGCACGGUGUUCCCGAGGCUGCUCCCUAAAUGAAAGCUGGGCGCCGCGGUGCCGCCUACUGGUCACCGCCUAGCUGGGGGGCGGGGCAACGCUGGUCUCCGCCCUCCGCCUGUCUCCCACGCCUCCCCCCACCCCCAACCCAGGGCCGAGCUGGGUCCCCUCCAGUAACGAAUUCUCCAGGAUCGCAGUUGAGGCAGUGGGUGGGCUGGGAGUUCAGAAUUCUUGGGUCCACUUCCACAAUUCCUAUAAUUAGCUGUAGUCAUUGCAAAGGGCUUAGUCGUGCCCACCCUCGUUCUUCCCCACCUGUCGUCCUCUCCCGGAAAGAGGAGAGAGGGGAGAUAGGGGUCAAACGGUGGCAGGGCUCCUUUUUU